CGCGCAUGAAAGCAAUACCUUUCACAGCGUUUUUUAAUACACACAUGUUGUGUAUCUAGAACAUCCCCACCUGCCGCCACCACCAACCGAACUCACAAUGCCCUCCAUCCGUCUUUCCCUCUUUAUCCUGGGUUUGGUUGUGGCUUGUGUCUCAGGUGAAAAAUCAAAUACCACUUCAAACCCCACAAAUUCAAACUCCAAAAUUUCAAACUCCGAAACUUCAAACUCCGAAACUUCAAAUGUAAAUGGCUCCACUACCGCCACUCAAACAUCCCUCAACGCCAUCACCACCACCGGAACCACCACCAAUGCCACCGAUGCCUCAAGCUACACACCGAGCAGCAGCGCCAUCUCGCCCUCGACAGCAACGCAGACCGGAUUCUCCAGUUCAAGUGGGGGAAGUGUCAAAACAACAAGCGCACCUAGAACCACGGACAAAAUGACAACAACUACCACCAAAGUACACAAAAAGGAGACAACCACCACUGCUAAGCCAGCUGAGACGGCGUCAGUGGACACCACCGGCAUUAUCAUCCUAGUUGUGAUCGGCGUCGUAAUCCUUGGAUUUGGAGUUUGCUGCUACUUACAGCGGAAUAGAAGAAGGCUAAGUUUGGAUUGGAUAGAAGAGAG
ensembl:lncRNA